AUGAUAUUUUUGUUCCAACUCAUUUCUAUUCUAGCAAUCAUCAAAGAUGUCCAAAUGGAGCUCCAGCUGGUGGAAUCUGGAGGGGAUGUGAGAAGGCCAGCGGAAUCCCUUCGUCUCUCCUGCCAAGGUUCAGGCUUCACCUUCAGCAGCUAUGAGAUGCUCUGGGUGAGACAGGCUCCAGGGAAAGGUCCUGAAUGGCUUGCAUGGAUAGACAAUAAUGGAGAUGGGAGCAGCCACACUUAUGCCAAUUCUGUGAAAGGCCGUUUCACCAUUUCCCGGCGAGAUGCCUCCAGCAUGCUUUAUCUCCAAAUGAACAGCUUGAAACCAGAGGACACAGCUGUGUAUUAUUGUGCUGGAGACUCACAGUGA